rnacentral:lncRNA from 1 species
AGUUUUCAUGCACCAUUAGUAUACUACAAUAAUGUUUGUUACCAUACUGGCAGACCGCAUACAUGACAGCUUUCUUUGCUAUUACAAACUUUGGAGGAUUUGCACCCUCGAAUGCUGCUUAUUUUCAGAAAUCACUUAAACUUAAAAUAAGGAAGAUGUGUUCUCUACUUAUCAUAUGACCUAAUUUUAUGAUUUACAUUGACGUGCCAUUCGGUGGAACAAGAUCAAAUCUUCACUGUAGUUAGCAGGCUAAUUUUAUCCAUGUGUCCCUAUGUACACUUUUGGAUUUUUAAGCUCUUUUGGUUCCUUCAAUGUUGUCAGAUAGAUUCAUAUGAUUGGAUCAUACUCUACCAUUUUCAUGGUGUUCAAUAGCUGGGUUUGUGCUAGACUUGUGAGACAUGGCAUUCUUAGUGAUGAAGUGGAUGUUAAUCCACUUAAAAGCUGCCGACUCUGGAGCCAGUGGUCUGAGAUAAACUCUGGGUGCCUUUCUAAUUGUUUAUCCAUAUUCUUUAUGAAUAUUCCACAUUCUUGGUUUAAAGCAUGAAUAUUUUCUUAGAGGGUUAGACUAGCUGUGGCCAUAUGUAGUACAUAUAAACACUGACAUACCUGUGUUCAGCACUAUACAA